rnacentral:misc_RNA from 1 species
GAUGAAGAACGCAGCGAAAUGCGAUAAGUAAUGUGAAUUGCAGAAUUCAGUGAAUCAUCGAAUCUUUGAACGCACAUUGCGCCCGCCAGUAUUCUGGCGGGCAUGCCUGUUCGAGCGUCAUUUCAACCAUCAAGCCCCCGGCUUGUGAUGGGGACCUGCGGCUGCCGCAGGCCCUGAAAAGCAGUGGCGGGCUCGCUGUCACACCGAGCGUAGUAGCAUACAUCUCGCUCUGGGCGUGCUGCGGGUUCCGGCCGUUAAACCACCUUCAUAACCCAAGGUUGACCUCGGAUCAGGUAGGAAGACCCGCUGAACUUAAGCAUAUCAAUAAGCGGAGGA